UCGAGAAUAGUCUACAAUGGGGGAAACCCUGAUAGUGCGACGCCGCGUGGACGAAGAAGCUCUUCGGGGUGUAAAGUCCUUUUCCAUGUGAGCAGCGCCUUCGAGUCGAAAGGUUCGGGGGUAUGAUAUUAGCAUGGGAAUAAGCCACGGCUAACUCCGUGCCAGCAGCCGCGGUAAUACGGGGGUGGCGAGCGUUGUCCGGAAUCACUAGGCGUAAAGGGCCAGUAGGCGGAUCGCUAAGUCGGAUGUCAAAGACGUCGGCUCAACCGGCGGAAGGCGUUCGAUACUAGUGGUCUAGAGUAAGGUAGAGGAAGACGGAAUUCCUGGUGUAGCGGUGGAAUGCGCAGAUAUCAGGAAGAACACCAGUGGCGAAGGCGGCUCUCUGGCCUAGGACUGACGCUGAAGCGCGAAAGCGUGGGGAGCGAACA
rnacentral:rRNA from 1 species